AUUGAACGCUGGCGGCAGGCCUAACACAUGCAAGUCGAGCGGAUGACGGGAGCUUGCUCCUUGAUUCAGCGGCGGACGGGUGGGUAAUGCCUAGGAAUCUGCCUGGUAGUGGGGGACAACGUUUCGAAAGGAACGCUAAUACCGCAUACGUCCUACGGGAGAAAGCAGGGGACCUUCGGGCCUUGCGCUAUCAGAUGAGCCUAGGUCGGAUUAGCUAGUUGGUGAGGUAAUGGCUCACCAAGGCGACGAUCCGUAACUGGUCUGAGAGGAUGAGCAGUCACACUGGAACUGAGACACGGUCCAGACUCCUACGGGAGGCAGCAGUGGGGAAUAUUGGACAAUGGGCGAAAGCCUGAUCCAGCCAUGCCGCGUGUGUGAAGAAGGUCUUCGGAUUGUAAAGCACUUUAAGUUGGGAGGAAGGGCAGUAAGUUAAUACCUUGCUGUUUUGACGUUACCGACAGAAUAAGCACCGGCUAACUCUGUGCCAGCCGCCGCCGUAACAC
rnacentral:rRNA from 1 species